CACAGGCGACAGUUUUGCCAUAAGCCGCACUGGCUGUUACAGGCCUGAAAUGUGUGUUGAAGACAAAACCACAGCUGGAAUGGAUGGUGGCAAUACUUGUCUGCCAGGUCAGCGGUGCCUGCAUUGGACGUCUGGUCUUUUUUCAGUUGGAGAGAAGCAGUAAAAACAUUUGGCACCAGUUGGCAUGCGAAGAAACCUGGCACGCUAUUGGUCAUGAUGUCUCCGUGAGAAGGAAGAGCCAUCCCUUAUGAUUGGACAGCAGGUGGCAGUGCAUGCAGACCAGGAAGCUGUCUUGUCUGUAGAAGUAAAAGGCUCAGGCAUACUGUAUGUGAUUGCUGGCAUACACAUACAGUAUGCACUUACAUCAUCGUCAGGGGAGGAGCUUCUCUGAGUGUGAGGAUUGCACACUGCUACUGCAACAGGGAUGACUUGAAAAUAGAAACACAGCUGUGGACACGA